AGAGUUUGAUCCUGGCUCAGGACGAACGCUGGCGGCGUGCUUAACACAUGUGAGCCCAGGGGAACUUAGUGCUUCGGCAUUGAUAGUAUACUGGCGGACGGGUGAGUAACACGUAGGUUAUCUACCAUCGAGUUCGGGAUAGUCCGGGGAAACUCGGUUUAAUACCGGAUAAGGUCUAACUGUAUAGUUAGAUGAAAGGUUGUUAUUAGAUUACUUGGUGAUGAGCCUGCGGCUAAUUAGUUAGUUGGUAGGGUAAUGGCCUACCAAGGCGAUGAUUAGUAGCUGGUCUGAGAGGAAUUUCAGCCACACUGGGACUGAGACACGGCCCAGACUCCUACGGGAGGCAGCAGUGAGGAAUAUUGCGCAAUGGGUGAGAGCCUGACGCAGCGACGCCGCGUGACUGAGGACGCCCUAAGGGGUGUAAAGGUCUGUCGUUGGAGAAGAAUCUGUUUGAUAUGAGAGUGUCAAGCACUGACGGUACCCAACAAGCAAGCUCCGGCUAACUCCGUGCCAGCAGCCGCGGUAAUACGGAGGGAGCGAGCGUUGUUCGGAAUUACUGGGUGUAAAGGGCACGUAGGCUUCUAGGCCAGCUUUUGGUGAAAUGCCACUGCUUAACGGUGGAGUUGCCAGAGGAACUGUCUGGAUUGAGUAUAGAAUGGGAAUGCGGAACUCCUGGUGGAGAGGUGAAAUUCGUAGAUAUCAGGAGGAACACCAGUGGCGAAGGCGGCAUUCUGGUCUAUAACUGACGCUGAGGUGCGAAAGCGUGGGUAGCGAACGGGAUUAGAGACCCCGGUAGUCCACGCCGUAAACUAUGGAUACUUGAUGUUUAGGGUUAGACCUAAGUAUCGAAGUUAACGCGUUAAGUAUCCCGCCUGGGGAGUAAGGUCGCAAGACCCAAACUCAAAGGAAUUGACGGGGGCCCGCACAAGCGGUGGAACAUGUGGUUUAAUUCGAUGCAACGCGAAGAACCUUACCUGGACUUGACAUGUUAGUGACAGAUUCGUGAAAGCGAGUCUAUCUACAGUCUAUUUUAGGCAGUAGCACUAUCACAGGUGAUGCAUGGCUGUCGUCAGCUCGUGUCGCGAGAUGUUGGGUUAAGUCCUUAAACGAGCGCAACCCCUGUUCUUAGUUACCAUCAGGUAGUGCUGGGGACUCUAAGGAGACUGCCGAGGACAACUCGGAGGAAGGUGGGGAUGACGUCAAGUCAGUAUGUCCCUUAUGUUCAGGGCUACACACGUGUUACAAUGGCAGGUACAAUGGGUAGCGAAGCCGAGAGGUGUAGCUAAUCCUAAAAAGCCUGUCUAAGUUCGGAUUGGAGUCUGCAACUCGACUUCAUGAAGUCGGAAUCGCUAGUAAUCGCGGAUCAGCAUGCCGCGGUGAAUAUGUUCCCGGGCCUUGUACACACCGCCCGUCACGCCAUGGAAGUCGGUGGCGCCCGAAGUUGCCAAAUGCGGAGGCAUAGGUAAUGAAGGUGAGGCCGGUAACUGGGGCG
rnacentral:rRNA from 1 species